UGAGAGUCUUCCGAUGAUAUCGGAACUGAUGAGUCCUAACAGGACGAAACUCUAA
rnacentral:hammerhead_ribozyme from 2 species